rnacentral:rRNA from 1 species
UACAGAGGUCUCAAGCGUUGUUCGGAUUCAUUGGGCGUAAAGGGCGCGUAGGCGGGAUGGCAAGUCGGUCGUGAAAUCCUUCGGCUCAACCGAAGAACGUCGGCCGAUACUGCCGUUCUUGAGGGAUGCAGAGGAGAUUGGAAUUCCCGGUGUAGCGGUGAAAUGUGUAGAGAUCGGGAGGAACACCGGUGGCGAAGGCGGGUCUCUGGGCAUUUCCUGACGCUGAGGCGCGAAAGCGUGGGGAGCAAACGGG